UACGUAGGGGGCAAGCGUUGUCCGGAUUUAUUGGGCGUAAAGAGCGUGUAGGCGGCCAGACAGGUCCGUUGUGAAAACUCGAGGCUCAACCUCGAGACGCCGAUGGAAACCGUCUGGCUAGAGUCCGGAAGAGGAGAGUGGAAUUCCUGGUGUAGCGGUGAAAUGCGCAGAUAUCAGGAGGAACACCUGUGGUGUAGACAGCUUACUGGACCAUUUCUGACGCUGAGGCACGAAAGCGUGGGGAGCAAACAGG
rnacentral:rRNA from 1 species